AUUGAACGCUGGCGGCAUGCCUUACACAUGCAAGUCGAACGGCAGCACGGGGGCAACCCUGGUGGCGAGUGGCGAACGGGUGAGUAAUAUAUCGGAACGUACCCUGGAGUGGGGGAUAACGUAGCGAAAGUUACGCUAAUACCGCAUACGAUCUAAGGAUGAAAGUGGGGGAUCGCAAGACCUCAUGCUCCCGGAGCGGCCGAUAUCUGAUUAGCUAGUUGGUGGGGUAAAGGCCUACCAAGGCAUCGAUCAGUAGCUAGUCUGAGAGGACGACCAGCCACACUGGGACUGAGACACGGCCCAGACUCCUACGGGAGGCAGCAGUGGGGAAUUUUGGACAAUGGGGGGCAACCCUGAUCCAGCAAUGCCGCGUGAGUGAAGAAGGCCUUCGGGUUGUUAAAGGACUCUUUUGUUCAGGAGAAACGGUUAGGGGCGUAAUAUCCUCGGCUAAU
rnacentral:rRNA from 1 species